AUGGGCCGGCCCAUGUGGGCACGAAGGGGGAGCUUGGGAUGCGCGCUCGCUGCGUUCCCGACGCCCUAUAGGAGCUCCCGAUGCAGAGGACCGACUUCGAGAAGUCGCGGCGGUAAAUAUCUUGGCCUACUGACGCUGGAUGGGCGUAUGCAUAAGGGGAGAUUUCAGAUGUUGCAAGCAAGCUUGACCAAGAGGAUCAUGGCAUGGGGGGACACCCUCACAAAGGCAGGAAAGGAGACCCUAAUUAAAUCUAUCUUGCAGGCCAUCCCAACCUAUAUAAUGGGGGUGUUUAAAUUGCCAUAUUCUGUUUGUGAUGACCUUGUUGGAAUAAGCCACGGCAUCUGGUGCAGUCGGGCUCGUUGGGCGCGUCGGGUGCACGCGGGACGUGCGGGACGCAUUGGUGGUGCGGUCAGGCUCGUCGGGCGUGUCGAGUGCGUGCCGGACAUGCGGGAGAUGUGUAGUGUGAGCUGCGUACGUGUGUAUAGGGAGACUGAGUCGGAGUUAGUUGGCAUCCUGGCAUGGGUAGGGCAAGGAUGGAGUACGUGCUCUAGUGGUCCUCUUCCUCCUCGAGUGCAAGGCGAGUGCAGAGGUGAGAGAGAGAGGGCGGCAACAACAAUUGGUAUCAUGAGCUUGGUCGUCUUGGGCCAUGCCGGAGGCGUGCCGGCGAUGGCGGCGUUCGUCGGCGGCUGCGCGGAGCUCCGGGCCGUGUGUCGGCCUGUGAAGGUGCGCGGCGCGACAGCUGUCAUGGCGGAUGCGGAGGUGGUGCGCGGUGAGUCCGCGACGAGCACGGCGGACAUGGAGGUCGAGGCGGUGUGGUUGCGGCGCAUGGCGGCGACGACGGCGGCGGGCCGGGCGCAACCGGUGCGUGUUAUGGGUGCGCACUGGAUGCGUCGGGAGCGUCGGGACCGCGGGAGUGGACUGCGUCGGGGCGCUGGAUCUGGUCGCUCAGAUCGCGUACGUGCGCGGCGGGAGCGCGGGGACGUGGGGAGUGCGCGCGAAGAGCAUAACGGUCGUGGAGACGUGAAGGUCGCGAAGGACCUGCGUGGUGGCGCAGAGGUCGCGGCGCCUCGGCGCGACAACCGUGGAGGCGCGCAGUACGGAGACGCGGCGAGCGGCGACUUGUGCCGAAGACGCAGCGGAGGAGUCCACGGCGCCGAGACGACAUCGACAAGGCAGGGCUCCUGCAGGCAGGCCGUGCGGCGACGUCGUGGCUUAGGGGAGCGUGUUGGAAUAAGCCACGGCAUCUGGUGCAGUCAGGUUCGUCGGACGCGUCGGAUGCGCGCGGGACGUGUGGGACGCACUGGUGGUGCGGUCGGGCUCGUCGGGCGCGUCGAGUGCGCGCGAGACAUGCGGGAGAUGUGUAGUAAUGGGGCAUUAGUGCGCCCACAUUCGUGCGCCGGCCGGGAAAGUCAUUGUGUUUGUGUGUCCUUCUUCCUCCUCCAGUCCUCUUCCUCCUCGAGUGCAAGGCGAGUGCAGAGGCGAGAGAGAGAGGGCGGCAACAACAGACCUCACGCGGCUAAUGUACAGUGCAUCUUGUCGAUCAAGGCCAGCCCACGGCGACUGGAGGAUGUCCUCUCAUGGGCGCCAGAUACACGAGGUGUCUUCAGUGUUCGAAGUGCGUACAAGCUCGCGCUGGAGGACUGUACCCGCACCACUACAUGUGCCACGAGCAGGGCACCGGACGGCACGCAUGUCGUCUGGAAGGCAGUGUGGGGGUGCCCUGCCCCUCCACAGGCACGAGUUUUUGCAUGGAGGGUCGCGACAAAUUCGUUGGCCACUCUUCAAAACAAAAAGAAAAGAAAGCUAGAGAUUUCUGAUACAUGUGCUCUAUGUGGUAUGGAAUGCAAGGACACGUUCCACACUCUUUGUAGGUGCCCUUUAGCUCAGCGGCUAUGGACUGCGAUGGCGCACAUAUGGAGGAUGCCCAAGGUGGAAGCUAUCAUGAACACCGGCCCUGAGUGGAUCAUCCACCUGCUUGAUGGUUGUUCUGCGGAUGUACGUCUACCGAUAAUCAUGACCUUGUGGCGGAACUGGCAUGUUAGAAACGAGGUUUAUCAUAACAAACCGGCACCACCAGUGGAGGCAUCUUGUAGGUUCUUGUGUGGCUACAUCAACUCACUGGUGGCCAUACAGCAGCACCCGCAUGCUGAUGAUUCAAAGGGGAAAACUGUGGUUGCUUAUAGAGGCCAGGAGGGGAGCCACAAGUCGCCUGUGGUGAGGCCGAGCAAAUCGCCGGAGCGUUGGAAUAAGCCGCCUCCUGGGUGGGUGAAAUUAAACGUUGAUGGCUCAUGGCGGCAGGAGGAUGAAACAGGGGGCGCUGGUAUGAUACUUCGCGACCACACAAGCUCUAUUAUCUUUGCGACGUGCCGUUUCAUCCAAAGAUGUACAAGUGCUCUAGAGGCGGAGAUCGCGGCCAUUCUGGAGGGUGUGUCGCUAGCAAUGGAUAGAAGCAAUGAACAUAUAAUGGUGGAGACGGACUGCAUGGUGGCUACACGGAUGAUCACGGCUCAGGUCCUAGAUAGAUCCUUGCUAGCUCCCAUGGUCAAUGAUAUCAGGCACCUCCUGAGUAGCAGAUCACAUGAAAUAAUGGCCAUCGGAAGGGACCAAAACAAGGCGAGCCAUGCCCUGGCUCACAUGGGGCAUGGUCACUGGAUGCAGGCCUUGUCCGGAGAUGUGGGGGAUGGGGGGUCCGAAAUACGAUGCAGCCCCUGA
rnacentral:rRNA from 1 species